rnacentral:tRNA from 1 species
UAACCCUCUGAGCUAAGUGGGC